AAUCAACGCUGGCGGCGUGCCUAACACAUGCAAGUCGAACGAGAAAGUGGGAGCAAUCCUGCGAGUACAGUGGCAGACGGGUGAGUAACACGUGAACAACCUACCCUUGAGUGGGGAAUAACACCGCGAAAGCGGUGCUAAAACCGCAUAAAAUCCUUUGUUCGCAUGGAUGGGGGAUCAAAAGAGCAAUAUGCUUGGGGAGGGGUUCGUGGCUGAUUAGCUAGUUGGUGAGGUAACGGCCCACCAAGGCAACGAUCAGUAGCCGGCCUGAGAGGGCGAACGGCCACACUGGAACUGAGACACGGUCCAGACUCCUACGGGAGGCAGCAGUGGGGAAUUUUGCGCAAUGGGCGAAAGCCUGACGCAGCAACGCCGCGUGGAGGAUGAAGGCCUUCGAGUCGUAAACUCCUGUCGAUGGGGACGAAAGCCUAGCAAUAGGAUUGACUGUACCCGAUGAGGAAGCCACGGCUAACUCCGUGCCAGCCGCCGCGGUAAUAC
rnacentral:rRNA from 1 species